GCCGGCGUGGCGGAACGGCAGACGCUGAGGACUUAAAAUCCUCUUCCGCGGAAGCGGAGUGUGGGUUCGAAUCCCACCGCCGGUA
rnacentral:tRNA from 1 species